rnacentral:rRNA from 1 species
AUUGAACGCUGGCGGCAUGCCUUACACAUGCAAGUCGAGCGGUUAAAGGUCGUUUGCUCCUGGCUUGUGGGGCGCGCGGGUGUGAAACACCUGAGAGUGUCCCUUCUUGUGGGGGAUAGCGGCGGGAGCUGUGCUCUAAUAGCACACGCGCCACGGGGGAGAGAGUGGGGGAUCUGGAGACCGCACGCUCGCAGCUGCCCCUAGGUCGGAUUAGCUAGUUGGUGGGGUAAAGGCUUACCAAGGCGACGAUCCGUAGCUGGUCUGAGAGGAUGAUCAGCCACACUGGAACUGAGACACGGCCCAGACUCCUACGGGAGGCAGCAGUGGGGAAUAUUGGACAAUGGGCGAAAGCCUGAUCCAGCCAUGCCGCGUGUAUGAUGAAGGUCUUCGGAUUGUAAACUACUUUUAGUUGGGACGAAGAGCAGUAUGCUAAUAAAGAGCUGUCAUGACGGUACCGAAAGAAUAAGCACCGGCUAACUACGUG